rnacentral:rRNA from 1 species
UACGGAGGGAGCUAGCGUUGUUCGGAAUUACUGGGCGUAAAGCGCACGUAGGCGGCUUUGUUAAGUUAGAGGUGAAAAGCCCGGAGCUCAACUCCGGAACUGCCUUUAAGACUGCAUCGCUUGAAUCCAGGAGAGGUGGAGUGGAAUUCCGAGUGUAGAGGUGAAAUUCGUAGAUAUUAGGAAGAAACACCGGUGGCGAAGGCG